GAAGAAAUAUAAGUCGACAAUGCUGCUGAUGGGUGGCACUGAUAGUCCCAACGCCUUUGCUCUUGGAUCAUUAUUCAAGCUUAUUUUUUCCUACAACAAGAAAGAGGAUGCUGAAGGAGGUAUUGCAACUAGAAAGGAUAGAAAGGCAGCUUUGGAGAGGGGUCGCAAAGAUCAAGGCUAUUGUGUCAAGUACUGUGCUCAAAACGUCCAUCGGGUGCAUCCAUCUCGCCCCAUUUCAUCACCGAUCACCAAGCGAUUUACAUCCACUGCGAUCAUGGAUGACCCCGUGAGAUAUGCCGCCCUAUUCUUCCAGAUACAAUGGGUCGAUUAAUACGGUAUUUUGAUAUGCUAAUCACGCUUCCGUUUCACUAAAUUUCCAGAACAAUACUACUUACCUUCUACUAAUAUUGUUCUGUCAACUGCAAAAAUCAGAAUUAUCGCAACAUUUUCGUGAUCUGUAUUCCAGCUUUUAGUAUAUGGUUUGUUUUAGAAGCAGAUAAGUGCUGAAGGGUCGUAUAUAGGAAUACUUGUUAUGCACGUCUAUCUACACUCUUCUCAGCCUAGAAAUCAUUAUGUGCUUGCUGACUUGUUUUGCUCACAUUGCCGCUGAAACUGUGAGCGGUCCUUGCAUGUCUUGUGUAUUCAUUGAAAGCGUCUAAAAUAUGGAGUUGCAACAUGGCUGCUAGCUGCUACUUUCAUGUUAACAGAAGAAGGCCAAAGCUCUCAUUUUCUAGAUAUGUCGAGUUUAAAUAUGAAGGAUAUUUUAAGAACGGAAUUUUCAGCAUCAUAUAUCUAUAGCAAUUGUGUUCUGAAACGGAAUUGUUGGCUCCUAAUAAUAGUGUACUGAAUUCUCUCAAGUCCUUCCAGCUUUAGGGACUGCUCAAUUGGAUCUGCACAAUCCAACAAAAUAAAUGUGCAUAGUGUCUGCGACACUUUCUUCGGAUCAUCACGAAGGUAGUUGUAGGAGUAAAAAAGUACGUCAUACUGUUUUUUCAGUACAAGCCAGAGACUGUUGAGAAACAAAGGCUAGGACAGUCGUAUACCCCAAGAAAAUUUGCUUUCAUGGGGCUUAUUUAAUCCAAGAACUGUGAGUAGUAGCGAACCAGACAUGAAAAGUUUCAGAGAACUACGAAAACUCCGGUCAGUUUUGUCAGGAUCUUGUGACCCAAUUCCAGGACUCUAUUGACUAAGGUAAUUAAUGAUAUAUCUGUGUGAUUUAUCCUGUUAAAACUUUUAGUGUUCACUUAGGGGUGAGUGCAACCAGUAACUAAAUUUAGACUACGAACUAGAGUAGGACAGUAAAAUCAGGAGCAGGAUGGAGAACACAUGGGACAUUGAGGACUAAUGGUCAACACUUAAAUCUUGCUUUACAUUCAGUUCAGUUCCAAGUAGUCUGAUACAUAGAUGGAGAUGCGAGUGCUGAUUUGGGGUUGAUUUGGUAAUUAUAUAUUUUCCUUGAUGACUGUCAUUUUGUUGUCCUACAUGUGCCAUAUGAUAUGCAUAACAACUUGAGAGCACCUUUGCUGCUCUUGAUGUGCUUCGUCAUGCAGUUUUUUUAAAGUGCACAAGCAAGCUUGCGAGUGAUGACAACUACUAUGACCUACAAACCUUGAAUCAAGGUUUUUGGGGUUGAACAUAGGGCACAGCGCGCUCUCCCAUCUACCCAGUGAAGCGUAUGAAAGAAAAAGCUACAAUAUACAAAUCAUCACCGUCAUUCAGUUUGUCCAAAACUAAGAAAAGCUCUUUAAAAAAACUGGGAAAAGCUCACAUGAUGGAAUGAGAUGAGAUUUCAAUAUCAUGAUUGUGUUUUAUAAUUUGAAUGACCAAAGUAGAUGAUCCAGUCAGCCCGUGUUUGACAAUAUGAAGGGACAAGCUUGUUGAUCCAUUAUCUGGCCAGGAAAAUACAAUAAUUCGGAGGGCUUAGGUAUGGAUAAUAGAUCUGACCUACUCUAGCAAGGUGAGUGACUCAAUUGCACAUGUGCAAAAUGGAAGUUUAAACUUACUUGAAUC